UACGAGGGGGGGCGAGCGUUUAUUCGGAAUUACUGGGCGUAAAGCGCACGUAGGCGGCUUUGUAAGUAAGAGGUGAAAGCCUGGAGCUCAACUCCAGAACUGCCUUUUAGACUGCAUCGCUUGAAUCCAGGAGAGGUGAGUGGAAUUCCGAGUGUAGAGGUGAAAUUCGUAGAUAUUCGGAAGAACACCAGUGGCGAAGGCGGCUCACUGGACUGGUAUUGACGCUGAGGUGCGAAAGCGUGGGGAGCAAACAGG
rnacentral:rRNA from 1 species